AGUGAACGCUGGCGGUAGGCCUAACACAUGCAAGUCGAACGGCAGCACAUUAAGAGCUUGCUAUUACGAGUGGCGAGUGGCGGACGGGUGAGGAAUACAGCGGAAUCUACUUUUUCGUGGGGGAUAACGUAGGGAAACUUACGCUAAUACCUCAUACGACCUACGAUUGAAAUCAAGUGAUCUUCUGACCUUUCCAUAAUUAAUAAGCCGAUGUCCGAUUAGCUAGUUGGCGGGUUAAGGGCCCACCAAGGCAACGAUUCGUAGCUGGUCUGAGAGGAUGAUCAGACAAAUGGGAAAUGAGACAGGGUACAGACUCACAGGGGAGGCAGGAGUGGGGAAUAUUGGAAAAGGGGAGAAAGUCUGAUAGAGACAUACCGCGUGGGUGAAGAAGGCCUGCGGGUUGUAAAGCUAUUUUGUUGGGAAAGAAAAGCAGCAGGUUAAUACCUCGCUGUUCUGACGGUACCAAAAGAAUAAGCACCGGUUAACUUCGU
rnacentral:rRNA from 1 species